AUGCGUGAGAUUGUGCACAUCCAGGCUGGCCAGUGUGGCAAUCAGAUUGGCGCCAAGUUUUGGGAAGUAAUCAGUGAUGAGCAUGGUAUCAACCCCACCGGCAGUUACCAUGGCGACAGUGACUUGCAGCUGGAGAGAAUCAAUGUCUACUACAACGAAGCCACUGGUAACAAAUAUGUACCUCGGGCCAUCUUGGUGGAUCUGGAACCUGGCACCAUGGACUCCGUCAGGUCUGGGCCAUUUGGCCAGAUUUUCAGGCCAGACAAUUUUGCAUUUGGCCAGAGUGGUGCCGGCAAUAACUGGGCAAAGGGCCACUACACAGAGGGGGCAGAGCUGGUGGACUCAGUGCUGGAUGUGGUGAGGAAGGAGUCCGAGAGCUGUGACUGUCUCCAGGGCUUCCAGCUGACCCACUCGCUGGGUGGCGGUACGGGGUCUGGGAUGGGCACACUGCUCAUGAGCAAGAUCAGGGACGAGUACCCUGACCUUAUCAUGAACACCUUCAGCGUCAUGCCCUCUCCCAAGGUGUCAGAGACUGUGGUUGAGCCCUACAAUGUCACCCUCUCUGUCCACCAGCUGGUGGAGAACACAGAUGAAACCUACUGCAUUGACAAUGAGGCGCUGUACGAUAUUUGCUUCCGUACCCUGAAACUGACCACCCCAACAUAUGGAGACCUCAACCACCUGGUGUCAGCCACCAUGAGCGGAGUCACCACCUGCCUGCGUUUCCCAGGCCAGCUGAACGCAGACCUCCGCAAACUGGCCGUGAACAUGGUGCCCUUCCCCCGGCUGCACUUCUUCAUGCCUGGCUUUGCGCCCCUGACCAGCCGGGGCAGCCAGCAGUACCGGGCCCUGACUGUGCCCGAGCUCACCCAGCAGAUGUUCUACUCCAAGAACAUGAUGGCCGCUUGUGACCCGCGCCACGGCCGCUACCUGACAGAGGCUGCCAUCUUCCGGGGCCGCAUAUCCAUGAAGGAGGUGGACGAGCAGAUGCUGAACGUACAGAACAAGAACAGCAGCUACUUCGUGGAGUGGAUCCCCAACAACGUGAAGACAGCUGUGUGUGACAUCCCACCCCGUGGGCUCAAGAUGUCAGCCACCUUCAUUGGCAACAGCAUGGCCAUCCAGGAGCUGUUCAAGCUUAUCUCCGAGCAAUUCACAGCCAUGUUCCGGCGCAAGGCCUUCCUGCACUGGUACACGGGCGAGGGCAUGGAUGAGAUGGAGUUCACUGAGGCUGAGAGCAACAUGAACGACCUGGUGUCCUAGUACCAGCACUACCAGGACGGCACAACUGAUGAGCAAGGGGAGUUUGAGGAGGAAGAGGGCGAGCAUGAGGCUUAAAUUCAGAACUGA